rnacentral:rRNA from 1 species
UACGUAGGGUGCGAGCGUUGCCCGGAUUUAUUGGGCGUAAAGGGCGCGUAGGCGGCCACGCACGUCCGUUGUGAAAUCGCCCGGCUCAACUGGGCUAGGUCAGCGGAUACGGUGUGGCUCGAGCAAGCUAGGGGGCAAUGGAAUUCCCGGUGUAGUGGUGGAAUGCGUAGAUAUCGGGAGGAACACCAAUGGCGAAGGCAGCUCGCUGGGACGUUACUGACGCUGAGACGCGAAAGCGUGGGGAGCAAGCAGG